ACCACAUGAGUCAAGAAUGGAAAUGAUGUGGUUUGGAUGGGAAUGAAGAAAAGUCAAAGUUAUUUGGAAUAAUAUUAAAUUGGAACCAAGUGAGGUGAAUGGCCGGCCAUACAAAAGAAAAGAAGAAAGACAAAAAAGUAAAGAAAACAAAAGAGAAGAGUGUAGAAAGGAAGGUGGGGGCCAGCCAUGUGAGGAAAGAAAAAGGAAGAGAGAAAAGUUAAGUCGAUUAGUGAAGAAGAAAAAGAGAAGAAAAAUAAAGGAAGAAAAAAAUGAAGAGAAAAAGGGAGAGAAAGAACCGUGAGAGAGGAAGAGCAAAGAGAAUGGUUUUGCUGCACUUUGAGGAAGGAAAAAGAGAGUUUUUGCUGCAAUUUUGGAGGAAGAAGAAAUCUGAAAAUUUUGAGUUUAUUGUGGAGGCGUGCCGAACGAAGUAUGUGACCGACAAAUAGGAAUAAUUAUAUACGCGUACAAAUCAAUAGUGAAGUAAUAUCCCACUAUUAUGAGAUAGGAAUCAGCCUAGCGUGUAGUCAGUGAUGCGUUUGGUCCACCGUGAAUAGGUAAAGGCAUCUCCUAGCAUUUUAUUCUGAGUCACUCUGCUGUUAGGGGUCAAGUCGUAGCAUUUCAUUUCUUAAGUUGUAAAUGAAUUCUAAAUUUUUAUAUAAGCAUUAAUUUGGAGAUUAUAGAUUUAAUGCAUAUA